GUUUGAUCCUGGCUCAGGAUAAACGCUGGCGGCGUGCCUAACACAUGCAAGUCGAACGUCUCUUCUUUCGGGAAGAGGAGUGGCGGACGGGUGAGGAACACGUGGGAACCUGCCCUUCAGUGAGGAAUACCGGCGAGAAAUCGCCGACAAGACCGCAUAGCCCUCUCUGGUGAGAGCCAGAGAAGGAAAGCCUCGCAAGAGGCGCUGGAGGAGGGGCCUGCGUCCGAUUAGCUAGUUGGUGGGGUAAGAGCCUACCAAGGCGUCGAUCGGUAGCUGGUCUGAGAGGACGGUCAGCCACACUGGGAUUGAGAACGGCCCAGACUCCUACGGGGGGCAGCAGUGAGGAAUUUUCGGCAAUGGGGGAAACCCUGACCGAGCAACGCCGCGUGCAGGAAGACGGCCUUCGGGUUGUAAACUGCUUUUCUUUGGGACGAGCAAGGACGGUACCAGAGGAAUCAGCCCCGGCUCACUACGUGCCAGCAGCCGCGGUAAUACGUAGGGGGCGAGCGUUGUCCGGAGUGACUGGGCGUAAAGGGCCCGCAGGCGGUCGAGCGCGUUUUGAGUGACAGCUCCCGGCUUCACUGGGAGAGGGUUCAGAAGA
rnacentral:rRNA from 1 species